UAAGGAAUAUUGGACAAUGGAGGCAACUCUGAUCCAGCCAUGCCGCGUGAAGGAUGAAUGCGCUAUGCGUUGUAAACUUCUUUUAUACGGGAAAAAUAUCCACCAUUCUUGGAGGAUUGAUUGUACUGUAAGAAUAAGGGUCGGCUAACUUCGUGCCAGCAGCCGCGGUAAUACGAAGGACCCGAGCGUUAUCCGGAUUUAUUGGGUUUAAAGGGUGCGUAGGCGUCCUGGAAAGUUACGGUUGAAAUCUCCUUGCUCAACAAGGAAACUGGCCGUAAAACUAUCAGGAUUGAGUACAUUUGAAGCGGGCGGAAUGUGUCAUGUAGCGGUGAAAUGCUUAGAUAUGACACAGAACACCAAUUGCGAAGGCAGCUCGCUAAACUGUAACUGACGCUGAGGCACGAAAGCGUGGGGAUCAAAC
rnacentral:rRNA from 1 species